AAACUUUCAACAACGGAUCUCUUGGUUCUGGCAUCGAUGAAGAACGUAGCGAAAUGCGAUAAGUAAUGUGAAUUGCAGAAUUCAGUGAAUCAUCGAAUCUUUGAACGCACAUUGCGCCCCUUGGUAUUCCGAGGGGCAUGCCCGUUCGAGCGUCAUUA
rnacentral:rRNA from 1 species